AUCAAACUUGAGAGUUUGAUCCUGGCUCAGAACGAACGCUGGCGGCAUGCCUAAUACAUGCAAGUCGAACGAGCC
rnacentral:rRNA from 1 species